CCCGGAGCGAGCCGGCGGCAGCGGGGCCGCAGAGCAGGGAUCAUGGCCCCAGGCUGCUGCAGCUCGGGGGGCGUUUGGUCACCGCUCUCAGGCAUAGCGUUUGAAUUUUGGGUGGUCGCGUGUGGGGCCAGGAGUUGGACUCGAUGAUCCGUGUGCAUCCCCUCCAACUCAGGAUGUACUGUGAUCCUAUGAAAUACUGUUACAAAACAGCCCCAGGAACUGAGACCCUCCUGAAUCCCGCUGCUUUUGAUUCCAGCCUUCUGAACUGUGCGGGGGGAUUGGCUAUGGAGGAGAUAGCAGAGGACACUUUCCAGGAGUUCUUCAGCCUCUCUUUCACUUUUCCUUCU
ensembl:lncRNA